UAAUGCUUAUUCAUUCAUUUUGAGUCGUCAAGUUUCCGAACAUAUCAUCAAAUAUAUUCUGUAAUAGUGUUCUAAUCGUUUCAUAGAGCUUUUUUAAACUUGUUAUUAUGUGGUCGUUCAAGUCAACGUACAAGUCAUUGCAAUUUUAAACUGAAUUUAUCCAAGUUCUAGGUUCGUCUCCAGUUUGCUUGACGGCUGCAAACCGCCCUUUCGACGUCCUAGAGGCGCCCUCUGCAGGCGCACGUAGGAAGUGGCGCUCCGCACGCGGCGCGCUGAUACCUUCGGCCGCCGCUGUGCUGCGGUCUCCGCCGGGAUUUGCCGACGUGUUUCUCGAGGGUGCCCGUCACGUGCUCCCUCGGUCCGGAACAACUUGGAGGUCAAAGUGGAGGGUUCAGCGUAGGUGUUGCCUUGCAGUCUGAAGGUCCCCAGCUGAAUGGCCCUCCUGCUGCCACGUGCUGAGCGCAGCCUGCACACACUUCCACGAGGAAGUACAGGCUGAGGAUUGUAGUUGUACGCAGCCAAGUUUGUCCGUUUCCUUGGACAGCGAUGGCACUGAGAACACAGGUACGGGGGGUUAGCGUCGCAGGCGAUCCUGCAGGCAUCUGAGAAUAAAGGCUCUGUCUCUGUCGGCCAUGGGAAGCUGCUGGCAGAGCUCCGUCAGUUCGGUGAAAAGCGCCGUGAGCUUCCCGCCGUGGGCCAGCAGGUGCGGAGCUGCCGGCCCCAGGUGCCACAGGCCAGAGGGCAGGUGGCGGCAGUGGAGCAGACGCUCGAAGGCCCGCUGGAUCGCAAGGCGGGCCGCAAACAGGAAGAGCUCGUCGGAGGACAUGGGCAUCGCGUGGCUGGGCGCAGCGCUUCUCGUGGCUUUCAGCUGGGGAGCACAGUAAAGUGGGAAACUGAGCCACGUUGCCCUCCGCCUUACCUUGCUGUGGUGGCAGGUGGGCAACAACCUCUGGAACAGUCCUCACCUGUGCACAGGUACCCACGCUGGCUUUGACCUGCCGGCCCAUGGCGAGAAAGGACACAAAGAUGCUCUCCUGUCCAAGGAUGCGGACAGCCAUGCUGCGGUUCAGGUGUAGGAACAGGGGUCUGAAUGUGCAGGGACUACGAUGGCGCUCCGUCCAUUUCCACUUUCGUGUUCGGGCACCACUCUGAUCUGAACAGUGGCCCCCCGAAGGGUCCAUACUUAACCUGUGCAUAGGACAGCAGCGCAGGAAGCAGAGCCAUUAUUACCCAGACAUUGUCAAACUCUACGGUGUACCCUUUUAUGAACAGCAAUACAACAUUGAAACAGACAUGUGAAAUAUAAAAAAACUGAAAUUUGUAAA